rnacentral:sRNA from 14 species
GGAUUGGUCCAAGUGAAAUUAGUAGGGAGUAGAGAGAAGAGUGAGGACCACCACCGCUACCGCCGCCGCCGCCGAGAGAUGGCCGGCUAUGGCGAAAUGAGAUAUGAGAACAACUGUUCAAAAAAGCAAUGACUUUGGGCGUAUGAUCACAGCUUGGAUCAGUGUGAAAUUUGAGCUCGAUCAGUGAACUUUGAAGGAAAGUAACGAAAAAAAAAAUUGUAAAAAGAAAUUAAAAAUAAAACUCACGAGAUCAACAACAAAAAUAGCAAGUGAAUAAUAAUUUUUAUGAAUUAAUUAUUUAACUCAAAUAUGAACAAAUUAUCGCAUAAAUAUGAACAUAAAAAAAACCAGAAAAAAAAUCAAAUUUCCUUGAAAGAAAAAACAUAAGAAAUGAAAAUCUCGCAUUUGUUACAAUAAAAUCAAGUGAAUGUAAAUUAUAUUUUUAUAUCAAUAUAAAACGCCAGGCAGCCCAUCCCAUUUCAGCCCAGCUGAAAAAGGUUAAGACCCUUAGUAAAAAAACAAAAUAUUAAAAAAAAGUAAUAAAUACAUAAAGCGGUGAUAAUUCUUAUCGCUUAGUUUGUUGGCAUUUGUACCGCGGUGCUGAUACCAUAUUCUCGUCGCUUGCUGAUGCUGAUGGCGGUUGUUGUUCCAUUCAUUUGUUUUUGUUAUUUUUUUUUCUGUUAUUUAUUAUAACAUAUUGCUGGCGGUGAUUAUUUUGAAAAAUAUUUUUCCUUCAAAUCAAAUGCAAUUUUUACUUAAUUGCUCUCAAACAAUUCAGUGCUGCAAUGCGUUUGGCUGUGUUUGUGAGUCCAUUGAAGUUUUACUAUCAAAUUUGAAAGUGAUAUUCGAAUUAGAAUAAAACCAACGACAACAGGAAUGAAUGGAAAUGGAAAAUAAAAAACGAAAUAACAUUUAAUCAAAAACAUAAAAUAUUUGAGAUUUAAUGGAAUCAAUAACUGCAACACCCUCAUGCAUAGACAUUUGAUAACAACGUUAGAGCUGCAUGGAGUUCAAACAUGCAUUUUCUCCUGAUAAAUCAAUAAAAAUGUUUGAUGUGCGAUGGUCCUCAUAAUGAGGUUUCGCGUAUACGAUGAGUUAAAAGGAUACAUCAUUAACAAAUAUAGGAUUGAACUGGAUAAUAUCUAAUUAUAAAUCCAACACCUCGGGAUAUUUUUUGAAGUUCGUCGCCUCUUCCACAAAUAUAUGAUCUUAGUUAGAGGAAUACCAAAAAUGGAGUCUUCAGGAGCCCACACACUGCUAAUACAUUUCUGUCUCCCAAUUUUGAACUUGAAGACUACUUGAAUUGCAUUUGAAAGAGUGAAGGUUUGAUAAUAACUGUGAUGGCAUUUAUUUCUAGCAUGGAAAUGUUCAGCUUUGUUCAGGUAGAACAAAUUUUCACAAGAGAUUGCGGGAACAAUAAAAUAGUCGAAGGUGUCUCAGUUAAAUAACCACUAUCGGAAUGCAAAACUCAAAAUGUUCUUUGAAUGCAAUGUAAUGCUUAAAAUCAGCACGCAAAGGAGUCGAGACUAUUGGCUAAGACAAAGUGAGUAAGGGGUAACGUCAGUAUGGCGUAACAUGACUACGGAGUAUCAUAAGUAUGGUGUAAGGUGAGCAUGGCAUAACAUGAGUACAGCAUGGGGUAGCGUUAGUAUGGAGCAACGUCACUAUUGGAUUCUUGUGAAGAUAUGAUUUAAGUUUGAAGAUUUCACAAUUUGCUUACUUAAGGCUCUAUUACACGGUAUAUAGGUGUCUUAUGACAUGCUAAAUUUAGCACAUGAAGAAUUGUAUAUGUCGUUUGAUACAAAUGAAAGUAACAUUUGAAAAUCACUGAGCACAUGUAAUUUUUUGGUUUGAAGCGUGCUCUAUUCCUUCAGACAACAACAUAAAGAAAUCAGAUGUUUUUGUUAUCAGUCAAAUAAAGGCAACCCCAAAUUACAUUUUU